rnacentral:rRNA from 1 species
CAAACUUGGUCAUUUAGAGGAGGUAAAAGUCGUAACAAGG